rnacentral:rRNA from 1 species
UACGGAGGAUCCAAGCGUUAUCCGGAUUUAUUGGGUUUAAAGGGUACGUAGGCGGCUUUUUAAGUCAGGGGUGAAAGACGGUAGCUCAACUAUCGCAGUGCCCUUGAUACUGAAGAGCUUGAAUGUACUUGAGGUAGGCGGAAUGUGACAAGUAGCGGUGAAAUGCAUAGAUAUCGUCAAGAACACCUAUAGCGAAGGCAGCUUACUAGGCUGUAACUGACGCUGAGGCACGAAAGUGUGGGGAUCAAACAGG